UGACUGUGAGCCCAGAGACUGCAUGAGGGACAGCGCAUAGCCUGGGCUGCGCUCAGGGCAGGAGUCUGAGGCAGUUACCUGAAAUUGCCUUUCUUCAAACACCAGCUGGCAGCCCUAGAGAUGGGCACAAGAGGGUCCAGCCUAAAAUAGCAUUCCCCAAAGUGCAAGGCACGUUGCCAUUAUAGGUGAGGCCUGGUGCGUCCCUGCCCGUGGAGCAGAGCUGGGAGCACCCCAAGGAGGGCCCGGCGGGGCGGCAUGGUGCCAGAGCAGCCAGGCCACAGCAGGAAUCACCCCGUUGGCCUCUCCUCCUUCCCGUGUCCUCCAGCAGUGCUGCUGGCUGCUGGGGAAGAUGGGGCAGUGCGGAGGAACAUAAGAAGGGAGAGGGAGAACAAGAGGCAAAAACCCAGACAAAACACCUUUUCUGCCUUGAAUUUCCAAACAGAUGUUAGGGCCUGUCUUUCUCGCUCUCAAGGAUUUUUUUUUAACCUUGCUGUAACUGCUGCUGCUGUGGUGAAGGGGGCUCCUCCAGCAGCAUACCCCGCUUGGGUUCCUGAUGUUGCCUCCUUCGCCUUGCAGAGAGCUGCAGCUCCUUGGCUUCGCCGCUUUUCACCUUGGGAUAGGUCAGAAACAUUACCCUGAGGUAAAAAAGCUCACCUCUUUCUGCUGUGAAGGCAAGGCCCAGCUCUGCCUCAGACAUCUCCCUCCAUAACUGGAAUUUCAACAAGUACCUGCCCCUAAGAUUAAUGUUGCGCAGCAUUCCCAGGCACGCCCCGCCACAAACACGGCUGAUCUUCUUCUGGGCCCCAGCACAGCACUAGCAGCCUUCUGCCCGCAGCAACGUGCCCCAGCUCAGGAGCGAGGUUCCCUGCUCAGCCUGAGACACCAACCCACGCCACUCACUAGUGGGCGAGUGGGGAAAUAUCUGCCCCAUGGCGGGACCUGCAGAGCAAGCCCUUACCUAGCUGCAGUGCCUCCUUAGACAGGAGAUCUUUUCCUUUCCCCGCUGACCCUGUUCUUGAAGAUUUAUAUGACCAAUUUAUAAUCUCCUUUUAAUUGCAGAGAUAAUAUAUUUAAAACACAUGUGCUUCCCGCAGCGCUGUGUGCGCUUUGAGUGUUGUCUGCCUUUUGCCCCGUGUGCAUUCACCGAAGGUACUUGUGCAUAUGGAAACAAUCAGACUACCCAAAAGACAACACACUUGAUACUGUUAAUUACAUGGAGUAAACACCACUGGGACUAUAACCAGUCUCUAGAUCUGAGUCAGUAUUUUGCUGCUGAGCUAAAGACGAAAGUCCAUUAUGUGCACUCAUACAGCCGGCUAAGUCCCUGCUGCACACACUGCUGAUUUCUGUACAUGCUACGUGGCAGAGAGCCAAGGAAUUAUAGCACAAACAGGAUUUUAUAACCAGCGUUAUUUAAGGAUGGGCAAACUGUGAAACUGCAAAAGUCAAUGAUUCUAGUGCACUUUCAAUUAAUUUUUACUGUCAAGUUGUAUUUCAGGAUACUAAAGACCUCCGUGAUGACAAGAAGGAGGCUGUGGGAAUAGGCGGGAAUACAGUAUGCACGGUUCUUCUCUCUGAUUUAUGGAUCAGUGAAUAACCUAUCUAGAUGGCAAGUUAUUUCUUUCCUCUCACGUUAGAUGGAAUUCAUCUUUGUCUUGAGUUCCUGCCAGAAAACACAUUUAAGCAAUAUAAAUACAGGUAUCAGGCAUUAUAUUGUGCAAAUGGUAUAUCUGAGUCCUUGCACUGAAGUAAACAUCACUGCUUGGGCACUAAAGAUGGCUGUAAUACUUGUGUUGUUCAGACAAUUGAUCUUAUCGUAGUCUGAUAUAGAAAUAAGUAAACAGAGUUAACACCUCAGCAGCUUCCAGAAGGAACCUCAGAGAGGAUGCUGAAUUUUAAAACACCAGCAUACACUGAAGUCUUCAUGCCCAAAGUUUUUAAGUCAGAAUUAAAGCGGGCUGUGUGUGAGUAAUCAAACUGAUGUAGGCUUCCUUCCUUCUUAGGUUGAGUGUCCAGUUCAUCAGCUUGGCACCCUCCAUGUCACACUAAAACUACAAGGCCAGUUUGAAGGGACACGCCAUGCUCAAACCCUUUCAGAUUUACCUGAGAUUAGGCAGAAGGCUUGGAAGGGGUUGCAGGAAGGCAGAACAAUUGCAUAAACCUUGUGUCCUUAGAAAACCUAAAGAAAAAAAAGAAAAAAACAAGAAAAAAGAGCAAAUCCAUGUGCCCUGGAAAAUACUGAUGGAGCUGGGCUGCAGGUAGGUGUCCUCCAGCUUACAGCUGAGCCAGGCUGCUUUGCUGCUGUGGUUUCUUCUCUGCUUCCCCAGGUUACUGCUUCAUUGGCUGUUUAGCUGCCCUUUAAACAAGGUCUGUGAAGUGAUCCACUUGAAAUAAGUGAUUUUUGUUUUUUUCUUAACCCAAAAGUCCUCAACAAAGUCUUCAGUGCAAAGCUAUAUCAACUCUCGUCUCAGUGGAUUGGGACUGCGGGUGUAAGUCUCUGCAGUACAAGAUGCAGUCUGCAUCUUUUAGAUGUUGUACUGAGGGACAUGGUUCAGUGGGGAAAUACUGGUGGUAGGUGGAGGGUUGGGCUGGAUGAUAUUGGAAGUCUUUUCCGACCUUGGCGAUUCUGUGGUUCACUGAUUGUGUGUCCAUAACCAGAAGUGGCAAAAGUGUGUCUCUGUGUUACAUCUGUUGUGGUGUUCCUCCUUUUCUCAGGUCCACAGCCAUAAAGCGACCUUGUUCCUGCUUCUGUACCAGCUGGUCACUUUGUGCUCAGCUGGCACAAACCAUGAUUGCUCUCCAUACAGGUGGGCUGGCACCCAGGAAUCCUGACCAGCGUACACUUAGCCCAGCUUCAGAUGUGUUGAACAACUUCCUUUGGACCCACUAGUUUUGGCAGGCCACGUUUAUGCUGAUUUUUUUUGCCACUGGAGCUGUAUCACACCGAUUUGAGAAUUUAAACAACGGCAAAGCUAAGCCUGCAACGUUUAAAAUGUUAGCCAAGUUGGAUGCGUUAGCAGCAGGCUUAUCUCCACGUGAAAGCCUGUGUGUGACAAGGCAAACCGUGGACGCCUUGCACACUGUCACUGUGCACGUAGGCAGCAGACAUGCAUGCAGGCUGUGGCAGAAGCCACUGUCACUGGCUCUCGCCCAGUGCUGGAGGUUCCUGCUGCUUCAGUCCAGGCUGUGGGGUGACAGCUUCCUCUCAUGCAUAGAGAAGGACGUUGUAAACACAGAAUGUCUCUGCUAACCUUCCCCUGUUCUGGCUGAGAAAAUGUAAGAAGCAUUCAAGCACAGUGCAGCAAAGCAGAUCUGAAGGGAUUGUUAACCACAGGCACGGAGGAUAACCUCUUCCACCAGCACAUUAGCCUGGGAGGACGUGCAUCUGUAGCCCAGCCCCCUGUGUGGACUUUGUUAGAUUAUCUCUAGGGAGAUGAUUGCAGAGGAACCUGCUGCUCAUUUGUAGCGUGAAACCACGCAGCUCCUCCUCUGGCUGCCACUGUGCUCCUGCUUAUAGGGCAGCUACUCAGCUCAUCUGUGUUUACCCUAAAGAUGGGGGGCAGGCGUAACCUUUCUGUACACCCAGCGUGAAGUGGCUUACCCCUCCGUGAAACUCAGGUGAGCUGCUUCUCUGCCGACUGCAAACUGGGAGCAUCUUCACGGGGAACUUUUCCGCUGAAAUCAAAGUGAAACUUCACCCUGGGCUUUCUUAUUGCUGCCUCCUGAGUCACCACAUCCUUCUCUUGUCACCACCACCUUUCUGUUUAGAAAGUGAUAAUGAGACGCAGUGUUCAGCAGUGAGAACUGGGUCUGUGUGCGAGGAAUGAAUUUACAGAGGGGUUAAAAUUCGCUCUUUGAAAGCAGAGAGCACCAAAAGGUCCACCUGGGGAGUCAGUUGUUGGCGUGCUGCAGUUUUACAGUGCUUCCCUACAUUUCUUGUGGAGACAAGCCCCAAGGAAUCUGAAGACUUGGCUUAUUUUCCUGAUCCUGCAACAGAUCCUGCCUUGCCCGGCUAUGGGGCUUAGCAGCAGGGCAAAGAAGAGGAGCUGGGAAGAGAAGGAGGAGAGGCCAGGCUUCUCCAGGUGGAGAGCCUUGCUGUUUCCCACCCCGUGUCUCUUUGUCUCUCACUCUACUAUCUCCUGGAGUUGGCAACAAGUUAAUGUGACUCGGGAGCCAGAAGGUGAGGGGGUUGCUGUGGAUGAAGGCCUACAUUGUGUCCUUCUGAACCCAAGGCUAUUCCCCUCCCCCUUUCCAUUCUUUGGGUUACUCAGCAGAGCUGCUCCGAUUCACAUAAGCUAACAAUCUGUUGAGAAGAAGCAGUUAGGGCCAUAGAAGUUGUUGACAUCCUAUUUUCUUUUUUUUCUUUUUCUUUUUCUUUUUCUUUUUCUUUUUCUUUUUCUUUUUCUUUUUCUUUUUCUCUUUUUCUUUUUCUUUUUCUUUUUCUUUUUCUUUUUCUUUUUCUUUUUCUUUUUCUUUUUCUCUUUCUUUUUCUUUUUCUUUUUCUUCUUUUCUUUUUCUUUUUCCAGUGGCAUAACCGGUACUCCAGCUUAGCUCAUCCUUUUGUGCUCUCCAUCCCUUGCGUUGAAUCCAUGAGGAUGCACGAGGGUAGAACUUCAGAUCCCCCCCCAUCCCCCCAACCAGCUGGGACCAGCAGCUAAAGACAUUCAGCAUUUCUCACAGUCCGCAGCGUAGCUUUUGAGCUGGCUGGUAAUUGGAAACACUGUGCACUCCACUGCUCGGUCUCGCAGGCUCCCUGGCCAGCUGUGGGCUGCUCACCACCACCGCUGAGCCCGCAGUGCAGGGACGAGCUGCAGCGCCUGGUGAGGAUGGGCUGUGGUUGCGGGAGGCCAUCAGGUCGGCUUGCGUGUCUUUUUCCAGGAAGUCGAGUGCAUACUCCCUGCUUCUUCUUUUUUUUUUUUUUUUUCAUGAUCUUCAAGAGUUCAGCUCAAAGCAGCUGCAGAAAAAAAGCAUCCUGCUGCAGAAGAGCCAAUGGCCCUGGGAACAGACUGCUUUUAUAAAAAGCCUUACGAGAGCCAGAUGCCCCCUACCCUGACAAAGACUGAUCAGGUGGCUGCUGGUAUCGCCUUUCACUGCUCUUUGGCAAGGGUGGAAACACAGAAUGAUGGUGAGUUUUCAGGUGGAGAUGUAUUUUAUUUUUGCUUCGGUGAUGCAGAUGGAAAGAGUCGUUCCAUGCUAAGCAGCGCCGGCGUAGGGACAAAAAGGAGGACUAUGGGUGUCUAGGAGCAUGCAUGCAAUUACUGUAAUUCUCACACACAGGGUGCCAUGGAUUUAUGCUUUGUGAGAGGUCAGGUCAGAUCAUCAGCAUGGAAAAUAAAUCCAUUGGAUGUAUCUCCCGGGGGGUGCAGGAGGCUGUGCUGCAAGUCUCUUGGCACGGGGUGAGUUUUGGACGGGCAAUCACUUUGCAGAUCGGAGAAGGGAGGAAUCCACGUUGAGCCGAGCCGCAAGUCUUUGCAGAACCAAAGCACUGAUUCUUCCUGCAACAGCUCUUGGGUCGCUUCUGAGCCGGGUGGGAAGUCGGGGUGUUUCUUCAAAAUGACACAUAGGGUUUGCAGAGAUUAUUCACACCCUUUAUUGCAGGGUUGCAACAAAAUCCCCCUCUUUUUCCUUCCCUCUCUCAUAAUCUGGAUCCUGCUCACACCGGUACCUAACACGCAUCUCAUGAAUUAUUUGGGGGAUGAAACAGAAACUCCCUGCCCAAUCCAGCAGCCUGAUAGGUUUUUAUCUCAAGAUGAUGAUGAUGUUUAUUUUGAUGUUUAUUUUUGUACCUUUGUAAAUGCCGAGAGAUGCGACACGACUCCAACCCUAAACUCUCUCCCACUUCACUUUCAGGCAGUCCCCCAGCACUUCCCCACCCGAGCGGCCGCAGCAGGUGAUCCGCGGAGGAAGAGGAGGAUGAAGCCCGGCGUGCGAGCCAGCCCCGCCGGCUGCCGAGUGCCACCAGAGGGUGCUGCGCCGUACCGCCGGCCGGCAGGGACGGAUGGGAACGGGAGGGAUGCGAGAGGGACGCGGGAGGCUGCGGCCCCAGCCAGCUCCCUGCCUGCCAGCUCCUGCUGUGGUUGCCAGGCUGCUUGGUUUGGUUGCCCCGCAGCUAGCUAGUUCCGUCUGAUGGACCUCAGCUCCCUCUGGAGAAAACAAACGUUUGUGGCCGUGUUGAUGUGCAAGGAGGAAAACAUCGACACCGCAGAUAACGUGGUUGGUACGUCUCGAGACAGCGUAUGUAGAAGACAGCAUUUAAAAGGGUUGGUUUAUUAACUUUGCGCUCCCGUGCCGUAACCAGCCGCCCUUUAGGGAGACAGAAUUAGCCUCUCUUUAGCAGAAGGCAUCACAUCCCUCUGCUUAUGUCCCGUGCCGCUGCUCCCCCCAGCAGCCGCACUCCUCGGUGCCUGCUGUCCCACACGUCCGGGGCUGCUGUACAGAGCGCUCCUUAUACAGACGUCUCUUGGCAUGGAGGCGCUCCCCGGGAGCACGACUGUAGGUUGAAAUUCUGCCUUCUUGGAAUAAGCAAAUGCCAGGGGUUUAUUUCCUAUUAAGCUAGCAGAUAGUUUGUGCAUUUAGCCGCAGUUUGCUGUCUCCAACCAGAUACGGGUGGAUCCUUCUUGUUUUCCUUCCUCUUUAUAUUUCCAGCCUGGGAAACAGCAAAAAGUUUGUGCAAAAGCAACAUCUGUGGGAGAGAGAGAGAGAAAAGGAUGAGGCAGGCUGGCCCGGCAGCCAGCCUCAGGAGAUGGUAAGACAGAAGAGCUAUUCAUUGUGAGAGGCAGUUGCUCCUCACCCUGCUAGACUAUAAAUUGGACACCUUAUUAAGAGCUGAUCCUCCAACAGCCCCACCCCGGGCUGUGCUCACGCUCCGGACUAGAGGAACGCAAUCCCGUUUCGCUCUGGGUGCCCGCUGUGGGGUGAGCACAUGUGUGAGCAGGACAGAGGACACGAGGCAGAAGGAAGCAGCACACUUUUUGAUUUGUGGGUCGUCAGCUUAGGAAAACAAGGCAAACUUUUGGGAGGCAGCAGGGAGGAGGUUGGAUGGCAGCGAAGUUUGGGCUCUCACCCUAUGAUGCGCUGGUUGCCUUAGCAAAUAAUGGAAGCAGUAUUACAUUUUUUUCCUUUUUUUUUUAAACUUGUUUUCUCAGUUGUAACUUAAAAAUGCUGACUCACUGGCACUGUGUGCCAACACAAAUGUUGCUGCGGAAAUCAAUCAUCAUGAGAGCCUGGCGAGAUAUAACCCCACAGUGGCGCAGGCUUUGAAUGGGCCUCUUUGGUCAUUCCAAGUUUCUUCUUCAGACAAUUCGCCCGGAAACUUCCUUCUUGUCAGGUGAGCCCAAAGGUCUGAGCAGACUCACGCAGAUGUCACGUUGAAUGGUUGCUGUGGUGAAAAAUUCACAGGAAUGUGAGGUUAACAAAUUCAUCAGUUGUAUCAUCCUUGGCAAGACUUCUGAGCUUUCCAGCCUUUGCGCACCUUUAACCAUUUGAAAGGUUCUUGGGCUUGCAUUUGAAGUGCACAAGCUAUUGCCAGCUGCUGUCAGAAAUAAAUAUCUUUAUGUAUUCUUCAGAGCUUGUUUUUGUGCUGAAGAAAGCAGGAUGGAUCACAGGCCUUUUGUACUGUUCUGAACAUUAUUCCUGCUCAGACAUUCAUGUUUUUCCUUCCACGUGAAACCGAUUGGAGGAGUCAUGCAACACUAGAUGUGUUGGGAGGAGUCUGCAUUUUCAGAGCAUCUGCUCGUUGAUUUCUCUGCUGAGGUUCCUCUGUUUUAUUUUCCUUGGCAGGCCAUUUAAACAUAGUUAGAUAUAUUGCAACUGAGCGGUGGUCAGGUAAUUCAAAGUAACAUGGAAAUGUGACCUUCAUACAUGCCUCCCCGCUCCUCGGGUAGCACUAAGAUACAGGUGCAUUUCAAUAGCAUCUCCUAGAAUUGCUGACUUCAGUUGCAUCUCAUAUAAUUGAAAAACAGCCUUUGUAUUUCCUUUAGGAGGAAAUACAUUUUUUUUCAGAUCUGAAAAAUCUAGGAUAUUGCUGUGGCUCAUUUGAAAAUGGCCGCGUGAUUCUCUAGGUUGUGAUUGCCUGACUGUCGCUGGUGUAUUGGAAGGCAUUGGCUGACAAGAUGUUCCUGGAUACCUUAAUUUGUGUGCCUCAGAUGACUUUACAUGCUUAUAAAAAUGAGCACAAAGCAUCUUCAGCGUUUCUCUCACUUUUCUUCUCCUACAUUCUACUUGAGGGACUUCUUAGUUUUGCCAAUGAUUUUGUUUCCCAAUAAAACAGCGUGUCUGAAUUCA